rnacentral:rRNA from 1 species
CGGCUGAACCGCGCGUGACGGGUAGCGACCGACGCACAGGCACAGCCAGAAAGUUGCAAGUGAGCAAAAACGAACCCCACUUCGACGGCCGACUACCGCUGACCGCCGCCUUGAUCUGCUUCCGGCGCCACUACGCCGGCCAUGGGCUGCUCGUCUUCUCUGUCAGCAAACAGUACUGGAGGCUUGGGCAAUAUCAACAACGAGAACUCUGCAACUGACUCAAAGAAUUUGAAAGUGAAGUUGGUUUUACUGGGGGAUUCUGGUGUUGGGAAAAGCUGCAUUGUUCUUCGCUUUGUCCGUGGUCAGUUUGAUCCCACAUCAAAGGUAACUAUUGGUGCAUCAUUUCUGUCACAAACAUUGGCAUUGGAGGACUCCACAACAGUGAAGUUUGAAAUAUGGGACACUGCUGGCCAGGAGAGGUAUGCUGCAUUAGCACCUCUGUACUACAGGGGAGCUGGUGCUGCAAUCGUUGUCUAUGACAUAACAAGUGCAGAAUCAUUCAACAAAGCACAAUAUUGGGUGAAGGAACUUCAGAAACACGGUAGCCAGGAUAUGAUCAUGGCUUUGGUUGGAAAUAAGGCUGACCUACAUGAAAAACGCAUUGUGUCUUCUCAGGAAGCACAGGAGCACGCAGACAUGAGCAAUAUGUUUUUCCUUGAGACAUCGGCGAAGACAGCUGAUAAUAUAAACCAACUAUUCGAGGAAAUUGCCAAGAGGCUGCCAAGGUCUACACCACCGUCCUGAUUAACAUCGGUCUGUGUCAUAAACAACCUGGGUGAUUGUGUAACUCACAAUAUGAGUAGAAACGCCUGGACGAACAUUUGUGGCUGUUUCAACAUGCCAGGUCAAGCCAUCUGUAUCUCUGCGAGCAUACCAUUGUUUUUGGAAACAUAGCUCAUGUAAAGCUUGUCCAUUGCGCUAAUUCUGUCGAAAUGGUGGGGGUAUUCUGCUCCCAGCACGGGUAAGUUAAAUGAAGCUUAUGGCCGUGCUCUAACGCAUGGAUGUUCAGCAAGUAUGAUAAUAUGGUUGAGACUGAAACAUCUUACUAUCAAUGCAGUGCAUUGUUUUUAGGUUCGGUUUGACUCGCCUGUUGAGCCGCCAUUGACUGUACUGUACUGUACUGGAAGGGUUCAUUGCUGUCACUGUUGUGGAUGAUUAAUUUGAUUAGAUUACUACUAGUACUAGUAGUUAAUAAUGAUAACAGUUUUGCUGAUCAAGGCUUCGGAUCAUGACCCUUCCUUGUUCUUUCCUUGUG